UCCCGCGUAAUUUAAGCAUAUUAAUAAGCGGAGGAAAAGAAACUAACAAGGAUUCCCUUAGUAGCUGCGAGCGAACAGGGAUGAGCCCAGCACCGAAUCCUGCGCGGCACGCCCGCGUUUGGAAAUGUGGUGUUUGGGAGGACCCGAUCAUCUCGCACGCCCGCGCCAGUCAAAGUCCGUCUUGAAAGCGGCCACAGCCCGUAGAGGGUGCCAGGCCCGUAGGACGGUGUGGUGCGUGCGAAAGGGUCUCUCCCUAGAGUCGGGUUGCUUGAGAGUGCAGCUCUAAGCGGGUGGUAAACUCCAUCUAAGGCUAAAUAUGACCACAAGACCGAUAGCGAACAAGUACCGUGAGGGAAAGUUGAAAAGAACUUUGAAGAGAGAGUUCAAGAGUACGUGAAACCGUUCGGGGGUAAACGGGCGAAAUCUGGAAAAUCGAAGGGAGUGAUUCAAGCCCACCAACCGCCGUGUCGGUCCGUCGACGGCCGUCGAUGGUGCGUCCUUGGCUGCCGCGCGUGCCCGCAAGGGUGCCGUCGGUAGUCGGGCCACCACUUCCGCGUCGCCGACGCCGCCGGCGUUGGGCCGCACUUUACUCCUUGUAGUACGUCGCGACCCGUUGGGUGUUCGUCCAAGGCCCGCGCGUGGAGCCGGUGGAACCGUGUGCGCGACCUCGUUGCCCUCGUGGUGGCGAUGCGUCCGUCGCGAUCUCCUCCGACCGCUGCGGUGUCCCGACGAACUCGCCCGACGGUACAUAAAACGAUCGCGGGGCGAAAAAAAGAGCGCGUCGGUUUCGCGACCGACCCUCCGACGCCUUCGCGGGCGUCCGCCCCGUGUCUGCGACGCUCCAUUCAGAGCAUCACCCGACCCGUCUUGAAGCACGGACCAAGGAGUCUAACAUGUACGCGAGUCAUUGGGACCGCACUAAACCUAAAGGCGUAAUGAAAGUGAAGGCCGCGGCGAGAGCCCGGCCCACAGAGGGGGGAUGUUCGCGGAGACGCUCACGCGUCCCGCCGGACCGCACCCCCGGGGCGUCUCGUCGUCAUUGCGACGCAGCAGGCGCACCCAGAGCGUACACGUUGGGACCCGAAAGAUGGUGAACUAUGCCUGGCCAGGUCGAAGUCAGGGGAAACCCUGAUGGAGGACCGUAGCGAUUCUGACGUGCAAAUCGAUCGUCAGAGCUGGGUAUAGGGGCGAAAGACUAAUCGAACCAUCUAGUAGCUGGUUCCCUCCGAAGUUUCCCUCAGGAUAGCUGGCGCUCGAGAAGAGUGCGUGGGCCGUCGGGGCGACGGGCAACCGUCACCCGCGGUCGUACCAGUCUCAUCUGGUAAAGCGAAUGAUUAGAGGCCUUGGGGCCGAAACGACCUCAACCUAUUCUCAAACUUUAAAUGGGUGAGAUACUCGACUUGCUUGAACAACUCUCGUGAAGUCGAGUCUCGAGGAUGAACGAGUGCCAAGUGGGCCAAUUUUGGUAAGCAGAACUGGUGCUGUGGGAUGAACCAAACGUCGAGUUAAGGCGCCUAAAUCGAUGCUCAUGGGAUACCAUGAAAGGCGUUGGUUGCUUAAGACAGCAGGACGGUGGCCAUGGAAGUCGGAAUCCGCUAAGGAGUGUGUAACAACUCACCUGCCGAAGCAACUAGCCCUGAAAAUGGAUGGCGCUCAAGCAUCGUGCCUAUACUCGACCGUCACCGGCAAAAUCGCGAGGGGGUCGUCCCCCUCGCGAACGAGGUCGUGACGAGUAGGAGGGUCGCGACGGUGUGCGCAGAAGCGUCGGCCGUGAGGCUGCGUGGAGCCGCCGUCGGUGCAGAUCUUGGUGGUAGUAGCAAAUACACUAGCGAGGCCCUGGUGGACUGACGUGGAGAAGGGUUUCGUGUGAACAGCCGUUGCACACGAGUCAGUCGAUCCUAAGCCCCAGGAGAAAUCCGAUGUUGAUGCCGCGUCCCCAAGAACGUAAUUUUUCGUAAUUGGGAUGACCGCAUCGGGCGAAAGGGAAUCCGGUUCAUAUUCCGGAACCCGGCCGCGGAACCGACCAUGCGGGCCAAUGUCGACGCGCUGCGUUGCCGGAACGUUCCGAAAGGGGCGUUUACGGUGGCCGCGCGAGCGGCAACUCGUCGGGGUAACCCAAAAGGACCCGGAGACGCCGUCGGAUGAUCGAGGCAGAGUUUUCUGUUCUGUUUGAGCGUUCGAGUUCCCUGGAAUCGCCUAGCGCGGAGAUAGGGUUUGGAACGCGAAGAGCACCGCACUUGCGGCGGUGUCUCGAUCCAUCCCUCGGACCUUGAAAAUCCGGGAGAGGGCCACGUGGAGGUGUCGCGCCGGUUCGUACCCAUAUCCGCAGCAGGUCUCCAAGGUGAGCAGCCUCUAGUCGAUAGAAUAAUGUAGGUAAGGGAAGUCA
rnacentral:rRNA from 1 species